GUGCUUGUGUGCUUCUCACUGUGAUUUUCAGUGAUUUCAGACGCCAACGUCCAUAGGAAAACAUUAUAAAUGCUUUCCUAUGUGCCUGGCUGAAUGCGCGCGCAGCUCCUGCCGCGCAUGCGCAUUCAGCCGCAGAGGAGGAUCGGAGGCGGAGAGGAGGAGGAGAGCACUCCGCCCGGCGCUGGAGAAAAGGUAAGAUUUAAC